GUUCGGAGCAGAUAUGCUCUGACUCAUAUUUUAAAAUCUCUCUUUGGUUGCUGUGUAAACAACAGACUGGAGAGAGGCCAAGAGCACAAGCAGAAAAACCAGCCAGGGUGCUAUUUCAGCAGUCUAGGUGGAGAGUCAUGGUGACUUGGACCCAUCCAACAGAGACGAAGACAACUAAAUGGAUUCAGGAUAUAUUCUAGAGAUAACGAGUCCUAACUCUUUGCCAAGGAUAUGGCAAAGACUCUGAUGGAAAAGGCAGUAAUGUGUACACAAAGGUGAACAUAAAUAAAUGUGUGUAUGAUAAACGCUGGGAAUGGACAUAGAAAAACGGGUAUGCAAUUGGACAGAGACGACGGGAGACAGAAGGAAAGAUACUUGCUCAGCUGUAUCUAAGUAAGUUCAUAGGAGUUUCAUGGUCUGAAAAAUCUGUGACAGUGGAAUUUCUACUAAGAAGCUUAAAAAAGUUUCACCUUCUCCUUGGACACUUCAGAAUAAGGCCUUCUUAGAAUAUAAUGCAUUAUAUCACAAAUAUACUUUUAUAUAAAAUAUUUGGGACCAAAACAAGAGUAAAGAACCAGGAUCCGAAAGGGUGAAUGCCUACUAAAUAUCUUUGAUUAUCUAAAGCUGUUUAAAAGCUAUUAGAUUGGCACCUGGAACCCCAAAAUAUCCACUUUUCACUGGGAAGGAGUGGCUGUGCCUCUUCAAUCAUCCCCUAAAUGCAAAGAAGUUUGACCCCCACGCAAUGGAUAAAAGUCACCCAAAAAAUGAACAAAAGAGGUGUUUGGAAAAACCAGAACACCAUUCAUCCCAGCUAACGACUUGUUCAUUAUGAGUGAUGAUGGAUAAAGACUUCUCAUGCUGAGAUGAAAUCAAGAUUUAUAUGCAUUGUUUCCUCUCCCAACUUGUGGGAAGAUCAUCAUCAUUUAAUUCUAUCUCUGCGGCCAGUGAUGGGCAUCCAGAGAGCUGGUUAUCAAACGGCGCAGUCAGCUGGCAAAAGCCGAAACGUGCAGUUGGCACAUCUGGACGGAGCCGCCACAGCCGAGGGUGAACAAUGACUCCUGGCAAGCAUCCAAAUUGCUUGCAGACGCUAGCAGGUCUCAUCUACAACCGCCCCUACCAGCAUCUCUCUCUCUCUCUCUUUUUUAUGAGAAUCAGAUUUUCAUUGCUCCAUUCAAUUGCUCUCCUCUGCCAUUUUUUACAGCUCUUAUCGUUCCCCUGGAAUAUGGCCUUGAGACAGCUCAUCCGUGUCCUUCACUGUGUUAUCUCUUCUAACUUUUAUUAAAACUUCAGCUUUCAUCUGAAGAUAGCUAAUUAAAUCUGGAACAGAUUAUAUGCCUCCCCUUAAAAAGAGCACAAAACUAUUUUCUUCAACCCCAGCAAUGCUUUUUUUCCUUUCCAAAAGGUAAAAUCAAAGGUGUUUAAGAAGUCUCUUUAUUUACAGAGCUAAGAUAUUCAACACGUCAUAUAUGAGUUGAUUUAUAUUAAAGUUGUCUGUGAUAUGACAAAUCUUUGAGCUAUUUCUCAAGAUGAUUAUUUCUCAAUCCUGGUAUAUAUCCUUUAAAUAUCACAGCUAAUACUAUAAGCAUAUUUUCUAUAUAAAGUUGGGUAAUGAGGAGUUAAGUUAUUAGUGCACAUCAAGUGAUUUGUCUUUUUAUUCGUCUUUUUUUUUUAAAGGUUGCCCUCAUUUGAUAAGGAUGAAGAGAAAUUUUUCUUUUCUUCCCCAUACCACAAAUAUUAGUAACUAAAAGUUCUCCCAUGGGAAAUUAUGUGAAAACAUGAAAUUAAUAGCAGUGAUUCAAGUUUAGGACUGAUUCGGUUUUCAAGACAGCUUUAUAUCAACUGAUCAUCAGCACAAGUAGCUCUGUCUGAGUCUACCACAAAUUAUUAAUGAAGGAACUUCCACAAUUGAUAUGAAUACAUUCUUCUCACAUAUGCCGCUGACCCAGUCCCUUUCUGAGGCCGAGGGGCAGUGUACAAUCACCUUUUCUUGCAUAGAUCAGCUAACCAAACCUUCUAGCAAUGACAUCUGAAAGAAUCUAGCCAGCCAUCACACACACACACCCCCUAUGCCCUUUUAAUAAGGGUUAAGCUUCUACUACUGUGAGAAUAUGAUUUAACUAUCCCACCUGAAACUUUCUGGGAUCCUUUUCUUCGCUUCACUGCCUUCAGUAAGAUUUCCUUCAUGGUAACCUUUGUGUUGUCCACCUGAAUAAGGGAGAAUCCAUGAGCAGCAUUUCUGUAGGAAAAGACAAAUAUUAAAUCAUCACCAACAUUCAUCCAGAGAGAUGUUACUGCAAUCUUCACUGUGUUUAAGCAAGUUUUUUUUGUUGUUGUUUGUUUUGUUUUGUUUUUGAAAUGGAGUCUCGCUCUGUCACCCAGGCUGGAGUGCAGUGGUGCAAUCUCGGCUCACUGCAAGAUCCGCCUCCUGGGUUCACACCAUUCUCCUGCCUCAGCCUCCCAAGUAGCUGGGACUACAGGCGCCCGCCACUACAUCCGGCUAAUUUUUUGUAUUUUUUUUUUUUUUUAGUAGAGACAGGGUUUCACCAUGUUAGCCAGGAUGGUCUCGAUCUAUUGACCUCGUGAUCUGCCCGCCUCGGCCUCCCAAAGUGCUGGGAUUACAGGCAUGAGCCACCGCGCCCGGCCGUGUUUAAGCAAGUUUUAAAAAUACAUAAAUCCAUUGUGGCACAAUGUAAUAUGUAUCACCAUGCUACACCUGCGGACGCUUCCGAGCGGCUGCCAUGUCUGUGCAGUCAGGAAUGAUAAGUGAACCACCCGUGAAUGUUAACGAUAGUGAUCAUUCUGAGAAAAAGUUUGCUGAGCUAGAAGCGGUGGCUGAAGCCUAUAAUCCCAGCACUUUGGGAAGCUGAGGUCAGCAGAUCACUUGAGUCCAGGAGUUUGAGACCAGCCUGGGCAACACAGCAACACUCUAUCUCUACAAAAAAUACAAAAAGUAUUUGGGCAUGGUGGUGCAUGCCUGUAGUCCCAGCUACUUGGGAGGCUGAGGUGGGACGAUUGCUCGAGCCUGGGAGGCAGAGGUUGCAGUGAGCCAAGAUGAUGUCACUGCACUCCAGCCUGGGUGACAGAGCAAUACCCUAUCUCAAAAAAAAAGUUUGCCAACCCUAGGAUAACGUGGCGAGAUUUGGGGGGUUAUGUGUUCCAGCAGCUAGAGUUAUUUAACAUAACUAACAAACUUAGUAAAAGUCAAAUGGCAUUACUGCAAGCUGCAUACAGAACUUGUUUGCUGAACAGAGAAAAAUGGUGACAGAAUUCAGUGGGCACAAAGAUCUCUAUGAACAGUCUUGCUGGUCUCUGAAAAAUCUGUGCUGUUUGGUGCCAAGUCACACUAUACACAAGUAUCAGUCAGGCAGAGCCCACUUAUGUAUAGACCAAGCAACAGAUAAAGUAGAGUGACCAAUCUGGUUUACCUAGGAUGGAGGAAGGGGUUGGAGGUGAGCAUCAGGGAGUGCUCAUAGAUUCAGGACUUUCAGUUUUGAAACAGGGAGAGUCCUGGACAAACCAUCACAAACUGAUCAUACUAACAGAAAGCGUGGUGGGCCAAACGUAAAGUAGAGUUUUCUAGGUUAGGAGCGGUGGCUCAUGCCUGUAAUCCUAACACUUUGGGAGGCCGAGGCAGGAGGACUGCUUGAGCUCAGGAGUUCAGGACCAGCCUGGGCAACACAGUGAGACCUUGUCUCUACUAAAAAUAGAGUUAGUUGGGCAUGGUGACACAUGCCUGUAGUUCCAGCUACUUGGGAGGCUGAGGCAGGAGGGUCCUUUGAGCCCAGGAGUUUGGGGCUGCAGUGAGCCAUGAUCACAUCACUGCACUCCAGACUAGGCCACACAGCAAGACACUUAUCAAAAAAAAAAAAAAAAAAAAAAAGCAUUUUCUAGUAAAGAACAUUUAAAAUUUAUGUGUUUGUGUGGGGGGACACAUUAUAAAUCAAUUGGCCCACUAAAAUAAUGGACGAGUAGUUAAAAAUACACUGUUUAAAAGGAUGUUAAUCGUGAUGUCUCAUAUGAAAAUCAAAAGACUCAAGUUGACAAGUAAAACAUUUAACACCCAAUUAAACCCAACAUCAGCAAUGUUUAAUUUCAGCAAAACAUCAUCUGUUACAUUAAAGUUGUUAAUUUGUAUUUUAUUAACGUUAUAAUUUUAUCUGUAUUUAGUUUGUAAUUUUGUUUAGGUUGUGUAAAAACACUGAAUUUAUAGCUAAACAUUACAGAACUUUGUAUUUGCAUGUAUCUAAGUAGCAUUAUUAAAAAACUCAUUUGGAUAAACAUUGAGACUUUAGGAGAAUUUAUUUCCCUUUAAAAGAGUUCUGUACAUAACUUACAUUUAAGAAACUCCCUCAUGACAAUUCCAUGAGAUAGUUACUGUUACCCAAAUUUUAAAGAUGAAGAAACUGAGACUUAACAAAGGUAAGUAAAAUUGUCUAAGGUCAUGCAUGUAGCAAGAUACUAUUGAAGCUGAAACAUGAACCCAGGUUUGCCUAAAUUCAAAGUCUGUGCUGCCGCACUUAGAGGGAAAGAUGGUACUGGAGCCCCGGGAAUAGCCGGUGUGAGGGCCUCUAAAGGUCAGAAGGCGACAUGGGCUUCCUGGUAUUUGAAAGGCAGGAACGGGUGUAAAAAAGGGGAAGAGGUCUUAGAAAGCAAGGUGGGACACACUGCUGGGUCAGGUGUCCUCCUGGCAGCCCACAGACACCUGAAGUUUCAGUCAUUCCUUCUCCAUGAAGCCCUGUGCUGGGUGCUCAGGAUACAGAGAGACAAUAAGACUGUGCCUUCCUAGUCUUCAAGAAGUUAAUGGUCUUGCUACUAACUCAGAGGAUGUGUGCUCAUAAGAGGACUCAUUUGAAAGUAUGUAGAUCCUCGAUGUUUACCCACUGCCCAUGUUCACUGAAAGUUAUUCCAAUUCAGCUUUUUCAGUCCAGCUGAGCAAUGUCCACCUAAACACUACCCCUCCUCUGCUAUAAAACAAAGUCGGAGAAGAAAAAUGUAGAAGUGGCAGAGAUCUACUCAGUAACCCAUUCAAGAAAUACGUGUGACAGAUCUAUCACAGUAAUGGAGUGAUGGUGAGUAUUGUGGGCACAGAUAAUUCAGUUCUUGCUCUCCAAGGGUUGUUUAUUAAUAGUAACAAUAACAGCAGCUAACACUAAGAUGAUGCGUACAUAUGCUAAACACUGUUCUAAGUGCUUCAGAUCUAUUAACUCAUUUAAUCCUCAUAACUGAUCUGUGAGGUAGGUAUUAUUAUCUCCAUUUCACUGAGCCACAGAAAAGUUAAAUAUUCAUCCAGGACCACACACACUAGUAAGGGCAAGGCUAGGAUCGGCAUCCAAGCGAUCUGGCUCACAGCCCACCAUGCUGUCACCUACUGCACUAUAGCAGUGGCUGAAUGUCAGCCUUAAGACAGUGAGAUUCACAGGUUAAACCAACACCAGAUUCCCCAGCCUCAAUCUUUCAGCAGAGGGUUGGAAAGGGCAUGGACUUUAAAGUCAGGGAUGGCGUCAAAUCCAGGCCUAAGAACAAUAUUGCUCACCCUCAGGUUCCACGCCUCUAAAUUGUUCAUAAAAACUGGGCUAUUUUGGGAUUAAGUGAGAUAGCAUAUGCAUAGUUGGCCCUUAGUAAGUAUUAGUUCACUCCCUAUGUCAAACCUACUUGCCUCUUUCUGUUUCAGCUUAGUGUCUUCCCAGCCACUUCUUGUCCCUCCUCUACUGGGAGACAAAUGGAAGGAGGAAAGGGGGGAAAUGACGAGGAGGAGUAGUUACGGCUUUAUUUAUUUUGCUGGGAUUUCCUUCUCUGAAACUUUAGACACAUCCCUACAGACUCCUGAAGGUCUGCUCUGUUCUGCAUCUGUAGGAGAAGCUUUACUAACUUAGAAUAUAGACCAGAAAGGCGAGUAAGAGGUUGCUGAACCAAGAAAAUACACACAGGGCAAACGGUCAGUAAUCUGUACUAUUUCAUCAGACGACUGAGAAAAAGAAAAUUUAUUGACACUUUUGUUCUUAAUGCUCACAUAUAAAGAUUUCACUUUACCUCGUGUUUUCAGAAACACUCCAGACACAUCAAAUAAACUCUCUUGAAUUUUAAAAUAGAAAAAGGAUUGACUGGGCUAUGUGUGUGUCUGGGAGUGGGAACACAGGGAUGGGAGUAAUUCAGGAUCAAAAAACAGAGUAUUAAGUUUAAAGCAGUUGUUACUCUCUGCCUUCCCCCUCCUUCCUAUUCUCCAGAAGGCAGGGUUCAUAGUGAAACACUGUGUAGUCUUAGAUGCCCCUCCUGGAAAGGCAUAUGAAUCCUAGCCCCACUCCACUCUACUGAAAACUCAGUGAUUUAAAGCCUCUUGCUUUAAAAAAGGACUUCUGGUUCAAAAGACUGCUAUGAUCAUGUGUUAACAUUCAUGUAGAAAAAGUUCUAGUCAUAUUAAUAAUCAAUAAAAAUGCAAGUAAAAACUAUCGAAAUGCCACUGUGUAUAUCUUUUAGAGUAGAAAAAAAAACUUCUAAUACCUUGUAAUGGUAAAACUAUAAAAAUGAUUUUAGGAAUUCUGUUGGUAACAUUGUAAAUUAGGACAUCUUUCAGAGGGCUAUUGUCAAUAAAAAGUGAGUCUAAAGAUGUUUUUACUCUGACCAAUAAUCCUACUUACAAGGCAUGAUCCUAAGGAAGUUGUUCAACAGAAUAAAAGGUAUAUAGAUAAUGACCAUCAUCAUCAAAUUACUUAUUAAAACCACACAAGGAAGCAAUCUAAAUAUUCUGUGAUCGGCUUCCACUACAACCCAUACACUUUUCUUUUAUACUGCUUAUCACAUUUUAAUUAUUUGACAACUGUCUCACUACUAGAUAGUAAGCUCCAUGAGGGUAGUGCUGUCUCUGCCUAGAUCUCUGGCACAUAAAUACAGACUGUAGGAAUUAAGAACAAAUACUGAAACGUUUAUAAUUUAUUAUUUUUAGAUGGAGUCUCACUUUGUCGCCCAGGCUGGAGUGCAAUGGCGCGAUCUCAGCUAACUGCUACCUCCGCCUCCCGGGUUCCAGCGAUUCUCCUGCCUCAGACUCCCGAGUAGCUGGGAUUACAGGUGCCCACCACUGCAUCCGGUUAAUUUUUGUAUUUUUAGUAGAGACGGGGUUUCACCAUGUUGGCCAAGCUGGUUUCGAACUCUUGACCCUCCUCGGCCUCCCAAAUCCUGGCCUGCCUCGGUCUCCCAAAGUGCUGGGAUUACAGGCGUGAGCCACUGCGCCUGACCUAAUUUAAUGUCAAGUAAAAAUAACACAAAAAUAUGUGUGCUACAAGUGAAACUGAGUAACAUAUACACACGAUUAUUAUACAAGAUUAAAAAUAGUUAAGAUGGAGGCAUCAUUGGCCAACUUUUCAAUUAUUUUAAAUAUCCUUUAAAGUUAUUUUAGUACCUCUGAAAUGAAAAAGCAGGAAAAAAUUUGCUGUUAUUUACACCAAACUUGACCUUGUAGUAGGGAUGAAACGGCCACCAUGAAAGCCUGAGGGCCCACUCCCCAGCUUACCCCCAGGUACUCAGUUAUUCUUUCUUUGCUCAAGGGUAGAAAGAGCCAAAAUACUCAUAUAUCAUAUGUAGCAUAACCCUAUUUUCUGUAACAAUCUCAAACAAAGGCAGUAUGUUGAGAGAGACAGGGAAAUGUCUUCUAAAGCAAUCCCUUUUGAGCAGUGAAUUUGCUGGUUACUAACAGCAGGGGGUGCCAAAGGGAUCGCUAUUGUUCCCAGGAGACAGCCAUGAGAAGGACUGCUGAGGCCUAGGUUGAAAAAAAGCUUAGGUUUGAGAGUAAAAUCCAAAUGCAGCAGGUUUUCCCUUAACAACUGGGACAUGUGGAUAAAACUCAGGAGCUCAUAAACUUGAAUGGAUAAAAACUACAUUUUAAUUUUCACUAACUUCUAAUAUUUUGCAUUUCCUUGAUUUAUAAGUGUAGGCAAACAAUCACAGCAGAAUCACAGUGCCAGUGACUCUGUCAUGAACAGAAGUCAUAGCUAACACUACAGCACAUUACAGCUGUUGCAGAUUUCUCAAAUACCAUUUAUGCUCAUCACCGCUUUGAAACAACAGGCUUCAGGAGUUACUGUUAGGUAUACAGCUGGAUAUUGUUUAAUCUACUAGUAAAGCCACACAUAUUACUAUAUCAUGAAUUUGUUCAAUAAUCUGAUAACUUUAAAUAACAGAAUACUUUUAUAUUCCAG
rnacentral:lncRNA from 1 species